rnacentral:lncRNA from 1 species
CCACGUUGGUGUGUAUGACAACAGGUCGAUGCCAAUAGCUGUUUCCAUGAUAUCUUUUGCCUCCCAUGGGUGAGAGCCAUGAUGAUGGAGCUGUGUGGAGCCAGACCGAAUAUAGCACCAUAUGCAUUGCAGCAGAACCGACUUUUCCUGUCUUUAACGAUGAGAAAAUGGCACCUUUGACAACCACCUUGGCUGACCCACUUUGGAAUCAAAUGGGAUCUGGAUGGAAGAAGGAUGGCCGGGACCUCAACAUCCUGGACAAGUCACCCUGACAAACAACGGCACUGUUUUUGGAUUUCCCAGGAGGCGGAAGAGUGCCCUCUGAGAUUUAUAAACACAUCCAUAAUAAAUGGGAGGCUGGAGUUUAAACUGUUAUGGAG